UCGAACGAGAAACUCCGAGCUUGCUCGGAGAAGUAAAGUGGCGCACGGGUGAGUAACGCGUGAGUAACCUGUCCUUAAAUUUGGGAUAAUCCAUCGAAAGGUGGUCUAAUACCAAAUGCAGUCCCAAGAAUCACGGUUCUAGAGAUGAAAGCUGACCUCUUCAUGAAAGUUGGUGUUUAAGGAGGGGCUCGCGUACCAUUAGCUUGUUGGUGGGGUAAUGGCCUACCAAGGCUACGAUGGUUAGCUGGUCUGAGAAGAUGAUCAGCCACACUGGAACUGAAACACGGUCCAGACUCCUACGGGAGGCAGCAGUGAGGAAUCUUGCGCAAUGGGGGAAACCCUGACGCAGCGACGCCGUGUGAGUGAAGAAGGCCUUCGGGUCGUAAAGCUCUGUCAAGUGGGAAUAAAAUUGCGCGGUAAAUAGCCGUGGAAUCUGAAGGUACCACUAAAGGAAGCACCGGCUAACUCCGUGCCAGCAGCCGCGGUAAUACGGAGGGUGCUAGCGUUAUUCGGAUUU
rnacentral:rRNA from 1 species